GACGAACGCUGGCGGCGUGCUUAACACAUGCAAGUCGAGCGGUAAGGCCCUUUCGGGGGUACACGAGCGGCGAACGGGUGAGUAACACGUGGGUGACCUGCCCUCAGCUCUGGGAUAAGCCUGGGAAACCGGGUCUAAUACCGGAUAUGACUCCAUGACGCAUGUUGUGGGGUGGAAAGCCUUGUGCGGCUGAGGAUGGGCCCGCGGCCUAUCAGCUUGUUGGUGGGGGAUGGCCUACCAAGGCGACGACGGGUAGCCGGCCUGAGAGGGCGACCGGCCACACUGGGACUGAGACACGGCCCAGACUCCUACGGGAGGCAGCAGUGGGGAAUCUUGCGCAAUGGGCGAAAGCCUGACGCAGCGACGCCGCGUGAGGGAUGACGGCCUGG
rnacentral:rRNA from 1 species